AUACGUAGGGUGCAAGCGUUAAUCGGAAUUACUGGGCGUAAAGCGUGCGCAGGCGGUUUUGUAAGACAGAGGUGAAAUCCCCGGGCUCCACCUGGGAACUGCCUUUGUGACUGCAAGGCUAGAGUACGGCAGAGGGGGAUGGAAUUCCGCGUGUAGCAGUGAAAGGCGUAGAUAUGCGGAGGGACACCGAUGGCGAAGGCAUUCCCCUGGGCCUGUACUGACGCUCAUGCACGAAAGCGUGGGGAGCAAACAGGGUUAGAUACCCUGGUAGUCCACGCCCUAAACGAUGUCAACUGGUUGUUGGGUCUUCAUUGACUUAGUAACGAAGCUAACGCGUGAAGUUGACCGCCUGGGGAGUACGGCCGCAAGGUUGCAACUCAAAUGAAUUGACGGGG
rnacentral:rRNA from 1 species